rnacentral:rRNA from 1 species
UUGUCGUCAGCUCGUGUCGUGAGAUGUUGGGUUAAGUCCCGCAACGAGCGCAACCCUUAAGCUUAGUUGCCAUCAUUAAGUUGGGCACUCUAAGUUGACUGCCGGUGACAAACCGGAGGAAGGUGGGGAUGACGUCAAAUCAUCAUGCCCCUUAUGAUUUGGGCUACACACGUGCUACAAUGGACAAUACAAAGGGCAGCGAAACCGCGAGGUCAAGCAAAUCCCAUAAAGUUGUUCUCAGUUCGGAUUGUAGUCUGCAACUCGACUACAUGAAGCUGGAAUCGCUAGUAAUCGUAGAUCAGCAUGCUACGGUGAAUACGUUCCCGGGUCUUGUACACACCGCCCGUCACACCACGAGAGUUUGUAACACCCGAAGCCGGUGGAGUAACCUUUUAGGAGCUAGCCGUCGAAGGUGGGACAAAUGAUUGGGGUGAAGUCGUAACAAGGUAGCCGUAUCGGAAGGUGCGGCUGGAUCACCUCCUUU